rnacentral:rRNA from 1 species
GAUGAACGCUGGCGGCGUGCCUAAUACAUGCAAGUCGAGCGAACAGACGAGGAGCUUGCUCCUCUGACGUUAGCGGCGGACGGGUGAGUAACACGUGGAUAACCUACCUAUAAGACUGGGAUAACUUCGGGAAACCGGAGCUAAUACCGGAUAAUAUAUUGAACCGCAUGGUUCAAUAGUGAAAGACGGUUUUGCUGUCACUUAUAGAUGGCUCCGCGCCGCAUUAGCUAGUUGGUAAGGUAACGGCUUACCAAGGCAACGAUGCGUAGCCGACCUGAGAGGGUGAUCGGCCACACUGGAACUGAGACACGGUCCAGACUCCUACGGGAGGCAGCAGUAGGGAAUCUUCCGCAAUGGGCGAAAGCUUGACGGAGCAACGCCGCGUGAGUGAUGAAGGUCUUCGGAUCGUAAAACUCUGUUAUUAAGGAAGAACAAAUGUGUAAGUAACUAUGCACGUCUUGACGGUACCUAAUCAGAAAGCCACGGCUAACUACGUG